rnacentral:lncRNA from 1 species
UGAUGAUGAUGAGGGAGGAAAUAAUGAGAUUGAUGAAAAUGAAGGUGUUGAUCUGAUUGGGGAUGAUCCGUAGAAUUGGUGUGUGAUUUAAUUUGAUGUAGCAUCUAGGCUCUAUCUUUAAUUUAUUUUGGUAGAAUUCUUCUAUUUCGAUUGCGAUUUUACAAUUUUCGAUUUUGCUAUCUCGUACAACAAAAUAGUUGAAUAAAUU